GGGGGGCCUAUACAUGCAAGUCGAACGCACUCUCGUUUAGAUUGAAGGAGCUUGCUCCUGAUUGAUAAACAUUUGAGUGAGUGGCGGACGGGUGAGUAACACGUGGGUAACCUGCCCUAAAGUGGGGGAUAACAUUUGGAAACAGAUGCUAAUACCGCAUAAAACCUAACACCGCAUGGUGUAGGGUUGAAAGAUGGUUUCGGCUAUCACUUUAGGAUGGACCCGCGGUGCAUUAGUUAGUUGGUGAGGUAAAGGCUCACCAAGACCGUGAUGCAUAGCCGACCUGAGAGGGUAAUCGGCCACACUGGGACUGAGACACGGCCCAGACUCCUACGGGAGGCAGCAGUAGGGAAUCUUCCACAAUGGACGAAAGUCUGAUGGAGCAACGCCGCGUGAGUGAAGAAGGUUUUCGGAUCGUAAAACUCUGUUGUUGGAGAAGAAUGUAUCUGAUAGUAACUGAUCAGGUAGUGACGGUAUCCAACCAGAAAGCCACGGCUAACUACGUGCCAGCAGCCGCGGUAAUACGUAGGUGGCAAGCGUUGUCCGGAUUUAUUGGGCGUAAAGCGAGCGCAGGCGGUUUCUUAAGUCUGAUGUGAAAGCCUUCGGCUCAACCGAAGAAGUGCAUCGGAAACUGGGAAACUUGAGUGCAGAAGAGGACAGUGGAACUCCAUGUGUAGCGGUGAAAUGCGUAGAUAUAUGGAAGAACACCAGUGGCGAAGGCGGCUGUCUGGUCUGUAACUGACGCUGAGGCUCGAAAGCAUGGGUAGCAAACAGGAUUAGAUACCCUGGUAGUCCAUGCCGUAAACGAUGAGUGCUAGGUGUUGGAGGGUUUCCGCCCUUCAGUGCCGCAGCUAACGCAUUAAGCACUCCGCCUGGGGAGUACGACCGCAAGGUUGAAACUCAAAGGAAUUGACGGGGGCCCGCACAAGCGGUGGAGCAUGUGGUUUAAUUCGAAGCAACGCGAAGAACCUUACCAGGUCUUGACAUCCUUUGACCACUCUAGAAGAUAGAGCUUUCCCUUCGGGGACAAAGUGAAAGGUGGUGCAUGGUUGUCGUCAGCCCGGGUCGG
rnacentral:rRNA from 1 species